GACGAAGGGGGCUAGCGUUGUUCGGAAUUACUGGGCGUAAAGCGCGUGUAGGCGGUUGUUCAAGUCAGGUGUGAAAGCCUUGAGCUCAACUCAAGAAAUGCACUUGAUACUGGAUGACUAGAGGACCGGAGAGGAUAGUGGAAUUCCCAGUGCAGUGGUGAAAUACGUAGAGAUUGGGAAGAACACCAGUGGCGAAGGCGGCUAUCUGGACGGUUUCUGACGCUAAGACGCGAAAGCGUGGGGAGCAACAGG
rnacentral:rRNA from 1 species